rnacentral:rRNA from 1 species
GACGAACGCUGGCGGCGUGCUUAACACAUGCAAGUCGAACGGAAAGGCCCUGCUUUUGUGGGGUGCUCGAGUGGCGAACGGGUGAGUAACACGUGAGUAACCUGCCCUUGACUUUGGGAUAACUUCAGGAAACUGGGGCUAAUACCGGAUAGGAGCUCCUGCUGCAUGGUGGGGGUUGGAAAGUUUCGGCGGUUGGGGAUGGACUCGCGGCUUAUCAGCUUGUUGGUGGGGUAGUGGCUUACCAAGGCUUUGACGGGUAGCCGGCCUGAGAGGGUGACCGGCCACAUUGGGACUGAGGGACGGCCCAGACUCCUACGGGAGGCAGCAGUGGGGAAUAUUGCACAAUGGGCGGAAGCCUGAUGCAGCAACGCCGCGUGCGGGAUGACGGCCUUCGGGUUGUAAACCGCUUUCGCCUGUGACGAAGCGUGAGUGACGGUAAUGGAUAAAGAAGCACCGGCUAACUACGUG